rnacentral:rRNA from 1 species
AGUGAACGCUGGCGGCAGGCCUAACACAUGCAAGUCGAGCGGCAGCGCGUCCGACCACCCUCGGGUGGUCGGAUGGCGGCGAGCGGCGGACGGGUGAGGAAUGCAUCGGAAUCUGCCUCGUUGUGGGGGAUAACGUAGGGAAACUUACGCUAAUACCGCAUACGACCUACGGGUGAAAGUGGGGGACCUUCGGGCCUCACGCGAUGAGAUGAGCCGAUGCCGGAUUAGCUAGUUGGCGGGGUAAAGGCCCACCAAGGCGACGAUCGAUAGCUGGUCUGAGAGGAUGAUCAGCCACACUGGAACUGAGACACGGUCCAGACUCCUACGGGAGGCAGCAGUAGGGAAUAUUGGACAAUGGGGGCGAACCCUCGAUCCAGCCAUGCCGCGUGAGUGAAGAAGGCCCUCGGGUUGUAAAGCUCUUUUGUCCGGAAAGAAAAGCAUCUGGUUAAUACCCGGGUGUUCUGACGGUACCGGAAGAAUAAGCACCGGCUAACUUCGUGCC